GACGAACGCUGGCGGCGUGCUUAACACAUGCAAGUCGAACGAUGACGACCGAGCUUGCUCGGUCUGAUUAGUGGCGAACGGGUGAGUAACACGUGAGCAACCUGCCCUUCACUCUGGGAUAACCUCGGGAAAUCGGGGCUAAUACCGGAUAUGAGCUCCUGUCGCAUGGCGGGUGUUGGAAAGUUUUUCGGUGAAGGAUGGGCUCGCGGCCUAUCAGUUUGUUGGUGAGGUAGUGGCUCACCAAGGCGAUGACGGGUAGCCGGCCUGAGAGGGCGACCGGCCACACUGGGACUGAGACAUGGCCCAGACUCCUACGGGAGGCAGCAGUGGGGAAUAUUGCACAAUGGGCGAAAGCCUGAUGCAGCGACGCCGCGUGAGGGAUGACGGCCUUCGGGUUGUAAACCUCUUUCAGCAGGGAAGAAGCGAAAGUGACGGUACCUGCAGAAGAAGCGCCGGCUAACUACGUG
rnacentral:rRNA from 1 species